rnacentral:rRNA from 1 species
CCCUUAGAUGUUCUGGGCCGCACGCGCGCUACACUGAAUGGAUCAGCGUGUUUUCCCUUCCCGAGAGGGACGGGUAACCCGCUGAACCCCAUUCGUGGUAGGGAUCGGAGCUUGCAAUUGUUCUCCGUGAACCAGGAAUUCCCAGUAAGCGCAAGUCAUAAGCUUGCGUUGAUUACGUCCCUGCCCUUUGUACACACCGCCCGUCGCUACUACCGAUUGAACGUUUUAGUGAGGUAUUUGGACUGGACCUUUGAAGGUUAAUUCCUUCAUUGUUGUUCGGAAAGACUCCCAAACUUGAGCGUUUAGAGGAAGUAAAAGUCGUAACA